UGGGCGUAAAGAGCUCGUAGGUGGUUUGUCGCGUUGUUCGUGAAAUCUCACGGCUUAACUGUGAGCGUGCGGGCGAUACGGGCAGACUUGAGUACUGCAGGGGAGACUGGAAUUCCUGGUGUAGCGGUGGAAUGCGCAGAUAUCAGGAGGAACACCGGUGGCGAAGGCGGGUCUCUGGGCAGUAACUGACGCUGAGGAGCGAAAGCGUGGGGAGCGAACAGGAUUAGAUACCCUGGUAGUCCACGCCGUAAACGGUGGGUACUAGGUGUGGGUUUCCUUCCUUGGGAUCCGUGCCGUAGCUAACGCAUUAAGUACCCCGCCUGGGGAGUACGGCCGCAAGGCUAAAACUCAAAGAAAUUGACGGGGGCCCGCACAAGCGGCGGAGCAUGUGGAUUAAUUCGAUGCAACGCGAAGAACCUUACCUGGGUUUGACAUGCACAGGACGCCGGCAGAGAUGUCGGUUCCCUUGUGGCCUGUGUGCAGGUGGUGCAUGGCUGUCGUCAGCUCGUGUCGUGAGAUGUUGGGUUAAGUCCCGCAACGAGCGCAACCCUUGUCUCAUGUUGCCAGCGGGUAAUGCCGGGGACUCGUGAGAGACUGCCGGGGUCAACUCGGAGGAAGGUGGGGAUGACGUCAAGUCAUCAUGCCCCUUAUGUCCAGGGCUUCACACAUGCUACAAUGGCCGGUACAAAGGGCUGCGAUGCCGCGAGGUUAAGCGAAUCCUUUUAAAGCCGGUCUCAGUUCGGAUCGGGGUCUGCAACUCGACCCCGUGAAGUCGGAGUCGCUAGUAAUCGCAGAUCAGCAACGCUGCGGUGAAUACGUUCCCGGGCAUUGCACA
rnacentral:rRNA from 1 species